rnacentral:rRNA from 1 species
AAAACUUUCAACAACGGAUCUCUUGGCUCUGGCAUCGAUGAAGAGCGCAGCGAAAUGCGAUAAGUAAUGUGAAUUGCAGAAUCCAGUGAAUCAUCGAAUCUUUGAACGCACAUUUGCGCCCGCCAGCAUUCUGGCGGGCAUGCCUGUUC